rnacentral:rRNA from 1 species
AUUGAACGCUGGCGGCAUGCCUUACACAUGCAAGUCGAACGGCAGCACGGGUGCUUGCACCUGGUGGCGAGUGGCGAACGGGUGAGUAAUACAUCGGAACGUACCUUAUCGUGGGGGAUAACGCAGCGAAAGCUGUGCUAAUACCGCAUACGCCCUGAGGGGGAAAGCGGGGGAUCGAAAGACCUCGCGCGAUUAGAGCGGCCGAUGCCUGAUUAGCUUGUUGGUGGGGUAAAAGCCCACCAAGGCGACGAUCAGUAGCUGGUCUGAGAGGACGAUCAGCCACACUGGGACUGAGACACGGCCCAGACUCCUACGGGAGGCAGCAGUGGGGAAUUUUGGACAAUGGGGGCAACCCUGAUCCAGCAAUGCCGCGUGAGUGAAGAAGGCCUUCGGGUUGUAAAGCUCUUUUGUCAGGGAAGAAACACCGGCUCUAACACAGUCCGGGAAUGACGGUACCUGAAGAAUAAGCACCGGCUAACUACGUGCCAGCCGCCGCGGUAA